rnacentral:tRNA from 1 species
GCGGCUGUGGUUUAGCAGCAGAACGUCUUCUUGCCAGGGAGAAGGUCCGGGUGCGAUUCCCGGCAGCCGCACCA